AUUCUUUAAUCCUUUAGAGGAUUGGAACUGAUUUCAGUUGAGGCACAUGUUUGCUAGGUUUCUGUGCAUUUGCACAGGAAGAUAUUGAGUGUUUGCAUUCAUUUCAGGGAUCCCUACGCAGUGGAGCUCCUCAACAUAACAGAAAUGCAAUUACUUUUGUUAAAGGAAGAGGUUUAUAAGGGGGCCCUUGGGCUUGAACCAAGGACCAUUUGAUUUGCAGUCAAACACUCUACCACUGAGCUACACCCCCAUAACUGCUGUGGAGCAAGGAGAAGAAGAAGAAGCUCUCCCUCGAGCUGGAGUCACACGGGCGAGGGAUGGCUACUUGCAGCCCAGGAGAAGAAGUGGGGUUCUGGGUGAAAGGAAAACAAGCAAAGCUGAGUCCAAGCGGAGAAUGGCUGCUCCUUUAUGGCCAACCUGGGGGCAUGACUGAUGGUUCUAGAGGUGGAGGCUGGCCUGGCUGUGAGCAACUGGGAUCCAGGAAACCCCCGCCUGCCCUUCUGAGGGCAAAACCCAUGGAGGUGCGGUUGGCUGCUGGGAGAUAGACCCCUGUGGCUGCCUGUUGGCAUCCCAGGGAUGGGUCCUUGCAGCCCAGGAGAAGCGGGGUUCUGGGUGGAAGGAAAAGAAGCAAUGGUGAGGCAGAGUAGGCUCCUUUCUGUCCAAGAUGGUGGGCUGUGGUGAGUCUGGGAGUUGCCUGUAAGCCAUAAGUGGACAUAGUGCAGUGAAAACUGCUGCUCCAUUCUGGCCGACCGCGGGGCACCAUGGAUCACUUGGGAGUAGGGGCAGGGCGCUGGCUGUGAGCAAAUGAGAUCCAGGAAGCCCCAGCCUGCCCCUCCAGGGGCCGAGUCUUCUUUUUCUCUCCUGCCAUGGGGACCCUAGCCUCAAGCCUGCCCAGCAUGUGCUGUAGCUGGAGCAUUAAGCCUUCCUGUGUGGCCCGUGCUGGAGCUGACCCUGGACCCCUGUGGGGCACUGUUGGGGGAAAUCCUGACUGCAAAUAAUUCUAGGGGAGGCAGCCGCUGUGGUUCACCCUUUCUGCUCCCUGCGCUGCUGCACCCUAAAAUCCCUGUCGGCCAGAAAAUUGGGCUAGGAGCCUGGAAAGAGGAGGCAAAGGGGUGGCCUGAGCCCCCUCGGGCACUGCCCUACCCCAGGCAGCCCACAGAGACCUGAUGCCUCCCCAAGCAUCACACAGAGAUGUGCCAGCAGCGCUAAGGCAGCUCCCUGCCCACUCUGUCCCCUCCCUCCAUGCUGCACUGCUACUGGAAGCAGCUGGCAUAUCCCUGUGGCCCUGAGUGCAAACUCCAUAGCUGACCCGCCCCCGAAUCCCAUUGCCUAGAAGCCUCUGCAGGAGGGGAGUGUGUGCCGGUCACUUUGGGAGCUGUACUGCCCGAGGUAAGCAACCCCCCCUCCGACCACCUCCUGCACCCCUACCCCUGCCCCAGCACAGAGGCUCUCUGUGUCUUGAACAAGCACUGUCAAGGAUUGACCAAGAACUUCUGCUCUGUUUAUGUGAAAGAGACACAAAAAAGGGAGCCCAGCAGACAAGUUUAAUUCACAAGCACAAACUGGCUGGCCAAGCCAGGAUCUCUCAGUUACUCAGAAGGCUCUUCAGCCAGCUCUUCCCAAAGACCAGUCUCUGGAGGCUUUUGUGACAUGAUGUACCUCAAAAGAGCCCCCUGUAGCUCACAUAUUCAUCAUUCAUAUAUGACUGUGAUAUGUCAUACAAACCAUUCCAUGUAAGUUAUCACAUGAAAAGUCAUGAUCUGCUGAAAUCGGUUAUUCUGUCCAAAUAUGUAUAGCAUGAGGGUGUAUGAAGUUAUGCAUUUUGCUGUAUGGUUGUUACUGAAAUAUGCUAUAAUUUUGCUAGUAACCCCUGCCAAGGAGGGAGUUCAACAACCAUGAAUCAGCAGAGGAAUUGUAAUUAAGAGAUUUCCAAUUCAAUGACAGAUGCCCAAACACAACACUGUGGGGACUGCUCAAGUCUAUGAUUCAGUUGCACAAGACCACACCAGGAGGAUUCCCCAACCUAGUGACUCAGCAGAGCCCACCUGGACACGUCUGGGCAAGUGUCUUCUAGACACUUGAACUAAGGAUAUAAAAGAAGAGACUGUGGCAUCAUGUUUUUGCCUUUCUCCUCUCCCACCUAUGCUGGAAGUAGCAGGAAUCCUGAGAAAAUGAAGGUCAUCUGAGGACAGUAAUCCAAGUUUUAGGUGGAAUUCUUUGUAUUAAGGAGGGUAACAUCCAGUGGGAUGAGAAAAUUGCUUGACCUAACUACUGCCUAGUGUAAUAAGGCGUAAAGUUUAGAUUUUGCUGUGGUCGUACAGUGCUUAGUGCUCUGCACUGUGGCCCCAAGAGCCAUGGAUGCAAGUUGAGUUAGGAUGACCUUUUCCUUGUCUCCA